rnacentral:rRNA from 1 species
GAUGAACGCUGGCGGCGUGCCUAAUACAUGCAAGUCGAGCGAACGGACGAGAAGCUUGCUUCUCUGAUGUUAGCGGCGGACGGGUGAGUAACACGUGGAUAACUUACCUAUAAGACUGGGAUAACUUCGGGAAACCGUAGCUAAUACCGGAUAAUAUUUUGAACCGCAUGGUUCAAAAGUGAAAGACGGUCUUGCUGUCACUUAUAGAUGGAUCCGCGCUGCAUUAGCUAGUUGGUAAGGUAACGGCUUACCAAGGCAACGAUGCAUAGCCGACCUGAGAGGGUGAUCGGCCACACUGGAACUGAGACACGGUCCAGACUCCUACGGGAGGCAGCAGUAGGGAAUCUUCCGCAAUGGGCGAAAGCCUGACGGAGCAACGCCGCGUGAGUGAUGAAGGUCUUCGGAUCGUAAAACUCUGUUAUUAGGGAAGAACAUAUGUGUAAGUAACUGUGCACAUCUUGACGGUACCUAAUCAGAAAGCCACGGCUAACUACGUG